AUGUCUUCCUGGAUUUUCAGGUCAUUCCGAGAACUUUUAUUUCUGCACAAAAAUAACACCAUGGCAAUUCUGCUGAAAACAACGUCAGUUCGGGUUAGUUCAAUUGAAAUCAUGCAAGUUAGAGUCCAAAACAAUGGCAAAAGUGUUUGGAAAAGUAGAUACGUUGGAGACGUAUCAACCUCUUGCACCCAAGAUGGGCACCUGGCCUUGGGGUGCAGACGAGACGAUCUUGGUGGUGUUUGCUUCCGCGGGCGCCUUCAGCUUGCCCCCAUUGUUAGCUUGCUUGGACAUCGCGGCAAAGCGCUUGGCAGGUUCAAAUGCACUGGAAUUCUUGUAGAGCUCCAUUAUAUGUGGUGA
rnacentral:rRNA from 1 species